AAUAAGACAAACACCUGACCUUUCUCUCGUCUCUUAAAUACAAUUGCUACCUACCAUCUUCUUCCUGAACUAUCUUCUUCCCACCGAACAUGUGUCUUCCAGUCCUUUUCAUCCCGAUCUUUGAUUAAUCGAACCCACAACGCAAGUAGCAACAAGUUCAUCUUCAUCCACUCAAAUCAAACAAGCGUUGAUUCUACGCACUGCCCCCGAUUCAUCAACUACAACACAAGACGGUGCUCCGGUGGCCGUGAGCGACGGUGACGGGGCCGGUGACAGGGGUUCUCGACGGCGACGGUGGUGCCUCAGAGUUCCGGCAGCCGUGACUCCGUCGGUAAGAACAUCUGUUCUUUCUUUUCUCUUUGAUUUCUGAACGGUAAACAAGUUCCACACUCGAAAUUCUUUUUUUUUUUCCGGUGAUUAUUGAUGAUUAUGGUAACUGAUGUUGAUAAUAAUGAUGAUGGUGUCGACUUCCGGCGAGUGCCGCUAAUGUUGACGAUGAUGAAGAUGUGUCUGCUAUUGACGUGAUGAUGUUGAUGAUGAGGAAGACAGUGGUGGUUUUCAGGUCUUGGCUCGAUUGCUGAACUCCGGUCCGGCCCUCACGGAAACAAGCUCAGUGCAGUUUUGGUUCAAAGCUUCGGGUUUCGGUUCGGUCAACAACAAUCAACUGGUGGUUUGGUUCAGAUUACGGUUCGGAUCAGUUUCGGGUGAUUCGGGUCGCGACACGGUCAAAGUCAGUCAACGAAAGCCAACUGGUCAACCCCAGUCAACUUUUGGGUCAAACUUAGUCGACGAAAGACCCGGGCGAUUUUGGGGAAUGACUUGAGAAUUAUUUUUCCUAUGUAUUCUUACACAUAGACUAUUGAUACGUAGAAGAAUGCUUCUUCUGGAAUGGGUGUUGCUGAUCACUGUAAAGGCACCUUCUUGGAACUACAAAGAAAGAAGGUACACCGUUACGUUAUUUUCGAAAUUGACAAAAAGAAAACUCAAGUUGUUGUGGAGAAGACUGGCAAUCCUGCUGAAAGUUACGAUGAUUUUACAUCGGCUUUGCCCGAAAAUGAUUGCAGAUACGCAAUCUUUGACUUUGUAACCUCUGAGAACUGUCAAAAGAGCAAGAUUUUCUUCAUCGCAUGAUUGAAGUAUUGAAGAAAGCAUCAAAGGUUUCAGUAUUUUUCAUCAUUUUCACAACCUCCAAAACCGCAAGGAUUGGCAGUAAUCCCUCACUGAACCUCAAUUCAACAACAGCAAUCACCUGACAAACCUGUCCAAUGGACGACGGUGAACUCAUCCGUGAUUGACCAAUGUGAAUAGUAUAAAAAGCAAGAAACUAACCAUGAUAUAUGAAGAAAAGUGUAGAAAACCAACACCAUAACCAUCAAAUAACAUAAUUAUCUUCACUGAAGUUCAGGCCUAUUGGAGCAAGUUUCUUAAUUUGUAUUGGCUAUAAUCAAUUCAAAAUAAGCAUAAACCACAUAAGAGCCUUAGUUUUAAAAUUAUACGUGAUUUAAUCAGAGCUACCAUUUUUUAUAAGAGCCUUAGUUUUAAAAUUAUAAGAGCCUUAGCAUAAACCACAAUUCAACAGCCUACCACUAUAAAUUGCCCAACAUCAAACGCCACCGGCCACAAUCACGGCACCUCGUCGACUCCCGAUCAUUAGUCCUCACCAUUACCGACAGAAAUAAAACACAAAGAAAUGGGUGGUUUUGUGUUUUAGUAGUAAAAACUGUGUGUUCUAGUAUUAAAAUCUGAUCUUUUUUUAAUUCUCUUCAAUCGUAAUAAAUUAAAGAUUGGGGAAGAAAACCUGACACAUGUCAUCCGUUCUUCAAUCGACAAGCAAUGAUUCACCUUCGACUCAUCAGUGGCUCGCCCUCUCUGCUUUCUUUACAGAAACGAAGACCACAAAAAAGGAUCACCCUAAUGUCUUAACUGAUUUAAAGAAGAUCAGAUUGCGGAUAGUGAAAACAAAAUCAAUCGGUUGUCGUCAGUUGUGCGUCUCUAUGCCAUUAGUGUUCCUAAUAGAGCAAUAGGAAGUUAAUAAUGAUGGAAACCGAAACAUUCGAUGAGAGUUAAAACGUAUAAGAGAUAGCCACGUGUCUCAAUUUUAUGCUGAAAAUAUAAUAAAAGGGAAGGCGAAACACCAGCCAGUCACGUGUAUCUUUAUAGAGAUAAUACUAAAUUAUUAUGUUUACCUAGAUUUGAAUAUUGGACUCUCUUAAAAAAACUAGUAGGAAUGCUCGCGCGUUGGGCCGCGGAUAUUUAUGUUAAAGUCUACCAAAAUUACACAUAAUGACAUAUAAUACUUCAAUCCUCAAUGGAAUGACAAUCAUUAUAACCUCAUAUACCUCAAAAACCCAUAUACUGUUCCUUGUUAUGAUAAUAUAUAUACACACAUAUAUAUAAUUCCAAUAGUAGCUUGUUCCACGAAUGUGUCAGCUGUUAAAGUCUAGCAAAAUUUACCUUACCUGCAAUAGCAUCCAAACAGACAAGUUAAUGACAUUGGUAAUAUAAACAAUCUUUUUUUUUUGGCUCAUUCUAUACGCACCCCCCCUCUUCCUGAUUACACCCCCCUUUGUGAGAGGAAAACUGUCGGUCCCACGCAGGCCCCACCUGUAAGUAUGUGAGAGGAGGGGGGUGAAAAAAGUAAAUAGUGGGGGUGUAGAAAGUAGCACCCUUUUUUUUUUUGAACGGCUAACAUAAUCAAUCCCGAGCACUCUCGGGGCACCCACUGGACAAACGAAGUACUCUGAGAGUAACCCGAGUCCACCAACAAUUCCGAGGAAAACCCAAUAACCCACCCGCUCGUAGGCACGACGGUGAAAUUACCGGUAAAACCCGUUUAGAUCAAGGAUCUACCGGUGCCUUUCCCGCACCCACCCCUUUCACCCUUAAGAGCAUUGAAUAAAUUUAACUUAAUUUCAUUAAAAAAAAGUUGACCUGAAACCAAUGGGGGCUUCCCCGCACCACCCCGUUCACCCUUACGUAGAUCAGUGAUCACAUGAAGUCACAAAACAUGCAAAAAAAAAAAAUAAAUAAUAAUAAUAAUAAUAAUAAUAAUAAUAAUAAUAAUAAUAAUAAUAAUAAUCUGUCUAACGAAAAGGAAUUUGGCCGUUUCUUGGGUUGACCAAUAUCCUUUUCUUGUCGCGCCCCAUUUACUAUUUGAAUUUGUUAUCACCUUAUUGGCAAAUCACUUUCCAUAUUCUUUAUAAAACCAGGAGCAUAUUGCUUAGGACUUCCUUUUUUAUUACUACAUCAGUAGGUUUCAACUAAAACUUUAUUAAAAGAAUAGAAAAUGCCUAGUGACAAACUAAGCAAUACAGUAUGACCAAAUAAAAUUAACAGAACCAAAAAACCACAAGCAGCCUAACCGAAACGUGCUCCCCAUGUAUGAGCUUGUAGAUGGCAUUCACCGGAACAUAUUGUUUAUGCAUCACGUACAAGUGAUUUAAGCGACCCUCAACAUAUUGUUGGUUUAAAAGCAAACAUGUCCAUAUGUACAUACGCACACACACAAUAAUAAGGUUCAUAUGUUCGAAAAUGAAUCACCUGCUGUUCAUCCUCAGGAAGUGGGUAAACAUCACCAAAAAUUGUAGCGCGUGCAUUUGACAAACCGCUCCAUCCAGGUAUCUAUAAAUACACCUACAAUUUAAAAACCAGCUUAAAACGUUAAAUGUUAUUAUUGGUGUCGAUAAGUCUCUCAACGCUCUUGAGCUUUCCUCUCUUACAAAACACUCAAACUCAUGAUAACUCACAUUCUUUACAUUCAGUGUCUUCCCUCUAUUGUUAUGUGUUCCAAUUUCUUCUGCUCCGGCUGCUGCACUCUCAGUGAUUUCUCCAGCCCCCUCUUCAGAUUCUCUUCAUCGGCGACGCCCAUUUUGUAAGUAAUCGACGUUUUCAAGUGUGUUUCACCAGAAUCUUUAUCUAUCGUCAAUGCGAAUACGUGCGCUGUGCUCGAAAAUUUCGAUAUUCGUGUCUUGAAAUCGAAACCAGAAACCCAUGGCAUCAGUGCUGAAAACAUACCUGGAUGUAAAUAUAUAUUAAUAAUUAGAGGGUGUAUGACAAAGGCAUUCAAAAAUAAGGAUUAUACAACUAAUAGGGUCGUUUAGGCUCCCGAGCCUAGUAAAGCAAGUUAUGUGAGGCUUGGACUCGCGAUCAAGCUCGUUUAAACGUCUCAGUAAUCCACUCAUAGGAAACCCAAAAA